rnacentral:rRNA from 1 species
CUACGGGCUGCACCAGUGGGGAAUAUUGCACAAUGGGCGCAAGCCUGAUGCAGCCAUGCCGCGUGUAUGAAGAAGGCCUUCGGGUUGUAAAGUACUUUCAGCGGGGAGGAAGGGAGUAAAGUUAAUACCUUUGCUCAUUGACGUUACCCGCAGAAGAAGCACCGGCUAACUCCGUGCCAGCAGCCGCGGUAAUACGGAGGGUGCAAGCGUUAAUCGGAAUUACUGGGCGUAAAGCGCACGCAGGCGGUUUGUUAAGUCAGAUGUGAAAUCCCCGGGCUCAACCUGGGAACUGCAUCUGAUACUGGCAAGCUUGAGUCUCGUAGAGGGGGGUAGAAUUCCAGGUGUAGCGGUGAAAUGCGUAGAGAUCUGGAGGAAUACCGGUGGCGAAGGCAGCCCCCUGGACGAAGACUGACGCUCAGGUGCGAAAGCGUGGGGAGCAAACAGGAUUAGAUACCCUUGUAGUC